GAAGCCAAGGGCAGCACGAACAGAAACAGAAAAACAGAGAGGAAAAGAAGAGAAAGGAGAGGAAGAGAAGAAGAAGAAGAAAGGGAGGGUUUUGCGCCGCGCGGACCUCGCCUAGCCGAUUCGACUUCGAAUCGCAACGCUCGGUAUUCGAGUGCGUCGGCUCGAGAAACCGCUGUAGGUUAGUUUUCAGCUUUUCAAGGUUCUUCACCGAGACGCUAGUAGGCGUGAGAGUUCCAGUGUCGGGGAGAACAUUUUGAUAGUUGUGACUUUUUGGUACGAGUUACACAUGGAUGUGGAGCUUAAUGUACUUAGCUUUUUGGUGGAUUGUAGUUAACUCUGAUAUUGUAACCAAAUAAACUUUAUAUCA